rnacentral:rRNA from 1 species
GACGAAGGAUGCAAGCGUUAUCCGGAUUCAUUGGGUUUAAAGGGAGCGUAGGUGGCCUUAUAAGUCAGUGGUGAAAUCUCUGGGCUUAACCCAGAAAUUGCCAUUGAUACUGUAGGGCUUGAGUAUAGUUGCCGUCGGCGGAAUAUGACAUGUAGUGGUGAAAUACAUAGAGAUGUCAUAGAACACCGAUUGCGAAGGCAGCUGACGAAACUAUAACUGACACUGAGGCUCGAAAGUGCGGGGAUCAAACAGG